GAUGAACGCUGGCGGCGUGCCUAAUACAUGCAAGUCGAGCGAACGGACGAGAAGCUUGCUUCUCUGAUGUUAGCGGCGGACGGGUGAGUAACACGUGGAUAACCUACCUAUAAGACUGGGAUAACUUCGGGAAACCGUAGCUAAUACCGGAUAAUAUUUUGAACCGCAUGGUUCAAAAGUGAAAGACGGUCUUGCUGUCACUUAUAGAUGGAUCCGCGCCGCAUUAGCUAGUUGGUAAGGUAACGGCUUACCAAGGCAACGAUGCAUAGCCGACCUGAGAGGGUGAUCGGCCACACUGGAACUGAGACACGGUCCAGACUCCUACGGGAGGCAGCAGUAGGGAAUCUUCCGCAAUGGGCGAAAGCCUGACGGAGCAACGCCGCGUGAGUGAUGAAGGUCUUCGGAUCGUAAAACUCUGUUAUUAGGGAAGAACAUAUGUGUAAGUAACUGUGCACAUCUUGACGGUACCUAAUCAGAAAGCCACGGCUAACUACGUG
rnacentral:rRNA from 1 species